UGGAAAAGAGGCUACGAGGAGAUUUGGAGCCCAGAUAGGGAAACUUCAGGCCAUGCUACAAAGUACAAGUAAAACAUGUUCGUGUUUGAGAUUGAUGAUAAAUCAGUAGAUCAAUUCGGGUUGAAGCCAAUGAACUGCCCUGGACAUUGUAUUCAGUCACAGAGUUCGUUCCUUCAGAGAAUUACCUCUCGUCUAGCUGAUUUCGAAGCUCUUCACAGGAACGAAGCUAUUGUUAACACGUCUCAGACAAUUUCACCAGGACGAUGCUCACAUCUUCUGCAGAGAAUCACAGAUCAAGGACGAAGUAAAAGGCGGUCCUGGAUUUCAUCACUUAUGUGUAUACCAUAUUUGGUUUCACUUAUGUUGACUUCACAAAUUUGGAAGAAGGCUGAAGAUGCUCUUGCUGAAGCACUGAAUGAAUUCGGAAAGCCAUGGGAGAUCAGCAAGGGAGACAGCUUUUUAUGGUCCGAAAAUCGAUAUCAGUGUGAAAAGAAACUUACAAUGUGCAACAUUGAAGCUUGAUUUCCAGCUUCCUGAAAGAUUCAACCUUUUAUACGUAUCAAAUUCGAGAAACACCAGUUAUGAUACCUUGGAUCAGUUGAACGAAUGUUCC
rnacentral:lncRNA from 1 species